GUGCUCGUAGCUCAUCUGGUAGAGCGCUCGCCUGAAGCGUGAGAGGCAGUCGGUUCGACUCCGACCGAGCACA
rnacentral:tRNA from 1 species